GAGUUUGAUCAUGGCUCAGGAUGAACGCUAGCGACAGGCUUAACACAUGCAAGUCGAGGGGCAGCGGUGGUGAAGGCUUGCCUUCACCAGCCGGCGACCGGCGCACGGGUGAGUAACACGUAUGCAACCUGCCUGCCACAGCCGGAUAAUCGGGAGAAAUCCCGUCUAAUACGGCAUAAUGCAUCGACGGGACAUCCUGUUGGUGCCAAAGGUUAAUUCCGGUGGCGGAUGGGCAUGCGUCGCAUUAGUUAGUUGGCGGUGUAACGGACCACCAAGACGACGAUGCGUAGGGGUUCUGAGAGGAAGGUCCCCCACACUGGUACUGAGACACGGACCAGACUCCUACGGGAGGCAGCAGUGAGGAAUAUUGGUCAAUGGGCGGGAGCCUGAACCAGCCAAGUCGCGUGAGGGAUGACGGCCCUAUGGGUUGUAAACCUCUUUUGCCGGGGAGCAAAGUGCCGCACGUGUGCGGUUUGGAGAGUACCCGGAGAAAAAGCAUCGGCUAACUCCGUGCCAGCAGCCGCGGUAAUACGGAGGAUGCGAGCGUUAUCCGGAUUUAUUGGGUUUAAAGGGUGCGUAGGCGGACGCUUAAGUCAGCGGUAAAAUUGCGGGGCUCAACCUCGUCGAGCCGUUGAAACUGGGUGCCUUGAGUGGGCGAGAAGUACGCGGAAUGCGUGGUGUAGCGGUGAAAUGCAUAGAUAUCACGCAGAACUCCGAUUGCGAAGGCAGCGUACCGGCGCCCAACUGACGCUGAAGCACGAAGGCGUGGGUAUCGAACAGGAUUAGAUACCCUGGUAGUCCACGCAGUAAACGAUGAAUGCUAGUUGUCCGGGGCGAUUGAGUUCUGGGUGACACAGCGAAAGCGUUAAGCAUUCCACCUGGGGAGUACGCCGGCAACGGUGAAACUCAAAGGAAUUGACGG
rnacentral:rRNA from 1 species